CGGGCCUUGCCAGGGUUUCUGCUGCCCUCUUCCAGCACCAGUGCCUUCUUUUCCAACCCUGGGUUUGUACACAAGUGCCAGGUGCUGGCAAGAGGGCAGCAGGUCACCCCGUGUGCCACUGGGGCAGCCCCACAUGCCCAGGGAUGCUGGGCUCAGGCUCUGGGAGCAGCAGCAUCCCCCUGAUGAGCUCCAUCCGUAUUCCAUAGGAACACGAUCAUACAGACCCCCGGAAUGGACCAACUUCAGGUGGUACUAUGGCGAGGCAGCAACCGUCUGGACCCUGGGCAUCCUGCUGCAUGAGAUGGUCUGCGGGAAGCACCCUUUCAGGAGGGGCAGGAACAUCAGCUGGGCCCAGCUCCCGCUGCCACAACGGCUCUCCCAAGAUUGCCAAGUUCUGAUCAGGCGGUGUUUAUCCCUGCACUACUUGGACAGGCCCUCAUUAGAAGACCUGUUCUGUGAUCCCUGGAUGCAGGAUAUUCAUCAGCCAUAGAAGAAGGGAGAGAGCCACGGGCACAGUGAUGCAGGGACCUGUGACAGCCGGGCCCUGGGCAGAACCCUGACAGCCUGGUGUCACCCCAGGGAAGAAGGAGCCCCUGGAGAAGCUGCACCAGGUGGGGCUGCUGCUGCUGCUGGGGACAUGAAGGACAACAGCAAGGAUGACAACCUCUUCCUCCACCUGGCCAGCGGCAGCUGGCGAUGAUGGACUUUGAUUCUGGCACCUUCUUGAAAGCCAGGCUCCACAGAGAAUUUUCAAGAAGAAUUCUAGGUGGGGUCCAGUCUGGAUCGGGAAGUGCUUGGGACCAGCUGUGGUGUGGAUGGGCCGUGCCCUUGGAGAAGGCUGAGGACAUCGUUUGGGACCAGCUUUUCUUCUGGCAGCAGAUGGUGUGAGCCGGGCUCUGCGGAUGCUGAGGCUGCUCUGGGCUCUGCCAGGGCUCUGCUGGGCUCAGCACCGGGCCGGGAUCAGCCAAAGAAGAAACGAUGUGACCUCCAGCAGAGACUUGAGCAUUUUGGCAAUGCAGCUCAAGUCUGCAGAGUGUCCACCUCCAAAGGAAAACAUGACACCCCCCCCAAAAUUAAACUUGUUCCAUAACUUCUGAAAUUACAUCAAUCUGGAAUGACCCCAAAUGUCAUUUUUCAGCUUUCUCAAGCUGUAGCUCAGCCCUUCUCUGAACAGUUCUCUCCCCCACCUGCCUUUUACUACACAACUGCUCCCUCCUUUCCCCCAGUGAUUUCCCAGCCCAUCACAAUCUCCAUCACACUGCAGCCUUCCUUGAUGCCCCUCACCACGAGGAAGGCCAAGCCCCAGGCUCAGGAAUCAUCCUGUCACUGGCUGAAGAGCAGCAAUGUCUGUCAGUGACAGGGGCCCUUGGAUGUCUCUGAAUUCAUGGACAGAAGGGUCUGUCAGUGCCAGGGGCUCUUGGAUGUCUCUGUAUCCAUGGACAGAAGGUCUGUCCUUACAAAGGUUUCCAUAAUAUCUUUGUACCCAUGAGUAUGGAAUGAACACAGAGGGUGAAAGUGUCA